rnacentral:rRNA from 1 species
UACAGAGGUCCCAAGCGUUGUUCGGAUUCAUUGGGCGUAAAGGGUGCGUAGGUGGCGCGGUAAGUCGGGUGUGAAAUUUCGGAGCUUAACUCCGAAACUGCAUUCGAUACUGCCGUGCUUGAGGACUGGAGAGGAGACUGGAAUUUACGGUGUAGCGGUGAAUGCGUAGAUAUCGUAAGGAAGACCAGUGGCGAAGGCGGGUCUCUGGACAGUUCCUGACGCUGAGGCACGAAGGCCAGGGGAGCAAACGGG